CUACAUGGUUCUAGUGAAAGAAGUAUUCUAAUGUAUUUACAAACAAGUAAACAACCACAAUGAAUUUAAAACUUCAAAUCUUCAUUUCUUUAUAUCCAUGCUUCAAUUUCUGCUUACAAGAUAUACCAAUUUAUCAGUUUGUGUACCUGGUAUUUGGAAAAGCAAAGAAGAGGAAGAUCAGUAGAAGCAACAGUAGUGUAAGUAGCGACACCGUAACACAGGUUCAGCAACAAAGCAGAACCAGUAGCAAACAGUAGAAGAAAUCCCAGGAAAGAUUUAAAACCAACCAGGAAAAAUCAGGAACUUUCAAACCAACAGAAAACCAAGACACUAAACUGAAACAGUGUUCAAAACCCAACAGAAAAGCCCAGUAGCAGAUUCCACCACCAAGCAGUACCAAAUGACAUUCAAAGACAAAGUAGAAGAGAAACAGCCACAAAAGAAACCUCACUUUCAGUUUAUAAACUGUCAAAAACUAACUGACUUCUUGAUGAAAAGGUUAGCUUGUAUUUUCUUCCUAAUUCUGAAACCUUAGUGUAAGUUUCAGUCUAUGUUUUGCACUCAAUAGUAAAUUCUAUUUCACUCUUAAGCUCUAACUUUCUAAUCUCAAAAAAAUCAGUCUUAAACUAUAUCUCUCUCUAGACUUUUC
rnacentral:lncRNA from 1 species